GCAGAUGAACCCGGGUGGCCCACAGUGCACAGGGAAGAGGGCGGGGCUAGACGCGGCCUUGAUAACUACUAGAGCGCCUCGGGCUGUGCGGCUCGAGACUACAUUUCCCAGGGGGCCUGGCGCAGAGCGGGCCGGAAAGAGAGCGCCUCCGAUCCAGUGCGCAGGUGCAGGAGCCAUAUCUGGUUAUAUAAAGGAGGU
rfam:Callithrix jacchus chromosome 5, whole genome shotgun sequence